rnacentral:rRNA from 1 species
UACGUAGGGUGCGAGCGUUAUUCGGAAUUACUGGGCGUAAAGCGUGCGCAGGCGGUGAUGUAAGUCAGGUGUGAAAUCCCCGGGCUUAACCUGGGAACUGCAUUUGUGACUGCAUCGCUGGAGUGCGGCAGAGGGGGAUGGAAUUCCGCGUGUAGCAGUGAAAUGCGUAGAUAUGCGGAGGAACACCGAUGGCGAAGGCAAUCCCCUGGGCCUGCACUGACGCUCAUGCACGAAAGCGUGGGGAGCAAACAGG